rnacentral:lncRNA from 1 species
GAAGUGAUGCGAACCUACUUGGAUGUGACAACUAAAUGAAAGAAGAGUCAAUGAGCAAAUUUUGUGGAGGAAGGACCCAAAACUUCAGAAGUUUGCGAGACGAUGCUCGUUAAAGCUCCAACAAGCAUCCACCCAGUUCAAGCAGCAUGAGAAAUUUGAGAGACUGGCGCAGUAAGGAUAGUCUUUUCCUUCAUCUGGGGGAUCCGCAGGAAUCAACAAUGAUCAACACAACUCAGCCAACCCCACACCAGAGUCAGAGUCAUUGGUGAGUUGAAGCAGCAUGGCGGAUCAAAGGUUCGACUACUCAAA